rnacentral:rRNA from 1 species
UACAGAGGUCUCAAGCGUUGUUCGGAUUCAUUGGGCGUAAAGGGUGCGUAGGUGGCGGGGCAAGUCUGGUGUGAAAUCUUCAAGCUCAACUUGGAAACUGCGUCCGAUACUAUUCGGCUAGAGGAAUGGAGGGGAGACUGGAAUACUUGGUGUAGCAGUGAAAUGCGUAGAUAUCAAGUGGAACACCAGUGGCGAAGGCGAGUCUCUGGACAUUUCCUGACGCUGAGGCACGAAAGCCAGGGGAGCAAACGGG